ensembl:snRNA U2 U2 spliceosomal RNA
AUCCCUUCGUGGCCUUUAGCUAAGAUCAUGUGUAGCAUCUAUUCUUAUCAGUUUAAUAUUUCCUGGUAGGUUGAGCUAUUUGUACUUUCCAAACCCAGCAGGCUGCCUCACACCUUGGAGCCUCUGAACCUCCUUUUCCUUUGCUAGGCCUUCCCUCCUCAGCUCGGUGGCUUGGAAAACAGAUGCUCUC